rnacentral:rRNA from 1 species
GUUGAUGGCGACCGGCGCACGGGUGAGUAACACGUAUCCAACCUGCCGAUGACUCGGGGAUAGCCUUUCGAAAGAAAGAUUAAUACCCGAUGGCAUAGUUCUUCCGCAUGGUAGAACUAUUAAAGAAUUUCGGUCAUCGAUGGGGAUGCGUUCCAUUAGGUUGUUGGCGGGGUAACGGCCCACCAAGCCUUCGAUGGAUAGGGGUUCUGAGAGGAAGGUCCCCCACAUUGGAACUGAGACACGGUCCAA